CCUACGGGAGGCAGCAGUGGGGAAUAUUGCGCAAUGGGCGAAAGAGUGACGCAGCGACGCCGCGUGAAUGACGAAGGCCUUCGGGUCGUAAAGUUCUUUCGACAGGGAAGAAAAUGCCUAUCAGUAACUGUGUAUGUAUUUACGGUACCUGUAUAAGCAGCCCCGGCUAACUCCGUGCCAGCAGCCGCGGUAAUACGGAGGGGGCGAGCGUUGUUCGGAGGGACUGGGCGUAAAGAGCACGUAGGCGGUGUUGUAAGUCAUUAGUCAAAGACUAGAGCUCAACUUUAGUAAGGCUAGUGAUACUAUAAUACUAGAGUAUCAGAGAGGAUUGCAGAAUUCCUGGUGUAGCGGUGAAAUGCGUAGAUAUCAGGAGGAAUACCGUUAGCGAAGGCGGCAAUCUGGCUGGAAACUGACGCUGAGGUGCGAAAGCGUGGGUAGCAAACAGGAUUAGAUACCCCAGUAGUC
rnacentral:rRNA from 1 species